rnacentral:rRNA from 1 species
AACGAACGCUGGCGGCAUGCCUAACACAUGCAAGUCGAACGAGACCUUCGGGUCUAGUGGCGCACGGGUGCGUGACGCGUGGGAACCUGCCCUUAGGUUCGGAAUAACUCCCCGAAAGGGGUGCUAAUACCGGAUAAUGUCUUCGGACCAAAGAUUUAUCGCCUUUGGAUGGGCCCGCGUUGGAUUAGCUAGUUGGUAGGGUAAAAGCCUACCAAGGCGACGAUCCAUAGCUGGUCUGAGAGGAUGAUCAGCCACACUGGGACUGAGACACGGCCCAGACUCCUACGGGAGGCAGCAGUGGGGAAUAUUGGGCAAUGGGCGAAAGCCUGAUCCAGCAAUGCCGCGUGAGUGAUGAAGGCCUUAGGGUUGUAAAGCUCUUUUACCCGGGAUGAUAAUGACAGUACCGGGAGAAUAAGCUCCGGCUAACUCCGUG